rnacentral:rRNA from 1 species
UUUUUAUGAGAGUUUGAUCCUGGCUCAGGACGAACGCUGGCGGCGUGCCUAAUACAUGCAAGUCGAACGCUUCUUUUUCCACCGGAGCUUGCUCCACCGGAAAAAGA